GAGGCAGCAGUAGGGAAUCUUCCGCAAUGGACGAAAGUCUGACGGAGCAACGCCGCGUGAGUGAUGAAGGUUUUCGGAUCGUAAAGCUCUGUUGUUAGGGAAGAACAAGUACCGUUCGAAUAGGGCGGUACCUUGACGGUACCUAACCAGAAAGCCACGGCUAACUACGUGCCAGCAGCCGCGGUAAUACGUAGGUGGCAAGCGUUGUCCGGAAUUAUUGGGCGUAAAGGGCUCGCAGGCGGUUUCUUAAGUCUGAUGUGAAAGCCCCCGGCUCAACCGGGGAGGGUCAUUGGAAACUGGGGAACUUGAGUGCAGAAGAGGAGAGUGGAAUUCCACGUGUAGCGGUGAAAUGCGUAGAGAUGUGGAGGAACACCAGUGGCGAAGGCGACUCUCUGGUCUGUAACUGACGCUGAGGAGCGAAAGCGUGGGGAGCGAACAGGAUUAGAUACCCUGGUAGUCCACGCCGUAAACGAUGAGUGCUAAGUGUUAGGGGGUUUCCGCCC
rnacentral:rRNA from 1 species